rnacentral:rRNA from 1 species
UGGCAUCGAUGAAGAAGAACGCAGCA